AAGACUGUAAUACAUCACUUAAAUUGAAUCAGAAAAAUAAAUGAUAGUAAUUUGAAUUAUUUAUCAGCAAAUGAUUCAAAAUAUGUGUUUUAACAUCAAUUAUAACAAACGAUGAUACUAUUAAUUUAUUUGACAUCACUUUAAUGCAAUUGAUACAAAUCUAUAUUAAUUUACAUCACUUUUAUAAAACUGAUAGAAAAUAUAGGUUUACAUCAAUUAAAUAAUCGAUACAUUCACUAAUUUGGAUUAACAUCACUUAUAAAAAUGAUACAAUAGUAACAUCAUUUCAAUAAAUGUUGCAAAUUUGACAUCAAUAAUAAAAUGAUACUAACAUAAUUUUAACUAAAAUAUUAAUAUGUGUAGGUAUUUCAGUUAUGUCGCUUGAAUAUAUUUGAUGUUGCAAAUUUUAUUUUUUACAAAUUAAAAUACAAUAUUAUCAUAUGAAUUUUAUACAGAUAAAAUCUGUUUAUCUGUAUAUUUAAUCUUAUAAAGAAAAUUUGUAUUGCGUUGAUAUAGAAUUUGAAUUCAUAUAAUAAAUAAGUUAGAAAAAUUGAUAUGUUGAAUAUUAAAAUGAUAAAUAUAGACUAAAUGAAGAAUUUUAAAUCUAUAUUUAAAAAUACUUUUAUGCUCAUUAUAAUAUAGAAUUAAUUAAACGAAAUAAGUUAGCUAAAAACAGAAAUUUACAACUAACGACUUAAUUGAUAAAUAUUAGUAGUUAAUUUUAUAGAUUAUCUCGUUUGUUUUGUAAAUAAAAUUGUACACCACUAGAUCACCAUCAAGAUUUUAUAUACACGUUUGUUACCAAAAAAUAGCCAUAUCUUCUCCUAUUUUAUCUCAACCACUAACUAGAUCACGAUCCCUUUUAACUGAAUAAAAACAACUGUCUUUUACUUCUUCCUUCUUCUUUUUUACAAAGUUUCUAUCUUCCACACACACAAUUCUUUAACAAAUGUUUUCAACACAGUUUGAUAUGGUUACGGUUUCUUCUAGGAAUUAGAAUUUACGUUAGAGCAAAGUUUAACAGAGGUUGAAUCUGCAGUUCUGAAUAUAUGAUACUUUGGAAACUUUCGUGAAAGGCUGCUAUUGUUUACGUCAGUACAUCAUCGGUUAAGAAGCAUUCAGUAGUUUCAAGUCUAAGGGAACAGAGAUUGAUGAUAAAAAUAUGGAGAAAGAAAAAAGAAAGAACAAGAAUCCAGAUUGAAGAAGCUUUCACAGAAAAUUAUGUUUAAUUAAUUUUACGAUCUUGUUUUCUUAUUUUCAUCUUCUGCUUUUUUUGUUAGACUUCUCUCUGUAUUGUUUUGUUUUGUUAAACUAUAUUUUCAUUGGAAACGUAAAACUCUAAUGAAAAAUAAUUUAUUUAAUUGAUA